CCUACGGGUGGCAGCAGUGAGGAAUAUUGGUCAAUGGUCGGGAGACUGAACCAGCCAAGCAGCGUGAGGGAGGAAGGUACAGAGUAUCGUAAACCUCUUUUGUCAGGGAACAAAGGCGUGGACGUGUCCCAGGAUGAGUGUACCUGAAGAAAAAGGAUCGGCUAACUCCGUGCCAGCAGCCGCGGUAAUACGGAGGAUGAAAGCGUUAUCCGGAUUUAUUGGGUUUAAAGGGUGCGUAGGUGGUCGGAUAAGUUAGUGGUGAAAUCCCGAGGCUCAACUUCGGAAUUGCCUUUGAUACUGUUCGGCUAGAGAGUAGUUGCGGUAGGCGGAAUGUGUGGUGUAGCGGUGAAAUGCUUAGAGAUCAUACAGAACACCGAUUGCGAAGGCAGCUUACCGGGCUACUACUGACGUUGAGGCACGAAAGCGUGGGGAGCAAACAGGAUUAGAUACCCCUGUAGUC
rnacentral:rRNA from 1 species